UGCAGUCGAACGGCAGCAUGAUCUAGCUUGCUAGAUUGAUGGCGAGUGGCGAACGGGUGAGUAAUACAUCGGAACGUGCCCUGUAGUGGGGGAUAACUAGUCGAAAGAUUAGCUAAUACCGCAUACGACCUGAGGGUGAAAGUGGGGGACCGCAAGGCCUCAUGCUAUAGGAGCGGCCGAUGUCUGAUUAGCUAGUUGGUGAGGUAAAGGCUCACCAAGGCGACGAUCAGUAGCUGGUCUGAGAGGACGAUCAGCCACACUGGGACUGAGACACGGCCCAGACUCCUACGGGAGGCAGCAGUGGGGAAUUUUGGACAAUGGGGGCAACCCUGAUCCAGCAAUGCCGCGUGUGUGAAGAAGGCCUUCGGGUUGUAAAGCACUUUUGUCCGGAAAGAAAUCGCACUUACUAAUAUUAGGUGUGGAUGACGGUACCGGAAGAAUAAGGACCGGCUAACUACGUGCCAGCAGCCGCGGUAAUACGUAGGGUCCAAGCGUUAAUCGGAAUUACUGGGCGUAAAGCGUGCGCAGGCGGUUGUGCAAGACCGAUGUGAAAUCCCCGGGCUUAACCUGGGAAUUGCAUUGGUGACUGCACGGCUAGAGUGUGUCAGAGGGGGGUAGAAUUCCACGUGUAGCAGUGAUGGGCGUAGAGAUGUGGAGGAAUACCGAUGGCGAAGGCAGCCCCCUGGGAUAACACUGACGCUCAUGCACGAAAGCGUGGGGAGCAAACAGGAUUAGAUACCCUG
rnacentral:rRNA from 1 species